rnacentral:rRNA from 1 species
UUCCAGACUCCUACGGGAGGCAGCAGUGGGGAAUAUUGCACAAUGGGGGGAACCCUGAUGCAGCGACGCCGCGUGAGGGAAGAAGGUUUUUGGAUUGUAAACCUCUGUCCUUGGUAAAGAAGCAAGACGGUAACCAAGGAGGAAGCCACGGCUAACUCCGUGCCAGCAGCCGCGGUAAUACGGAGGGUGCGAGCGUUAAUCGGAAUUACUGGGCGUAAAGCGCUCGUAGGCGGUAUGUCAAGUCAAGGGUGAAAUCCCCGCGCUCAACGUGGGAACUGCCUUUGAAACUGGCAAACUGGAAUGUGUGAGAGGAUAGUGGAAUUCCAGGUGUAGGAGUGAAAUCCGUAGAUAUCUGGAGGAACAUCAGUGGCGAAGGCGACUAUCUGGCACAUAACUGACGCUGAGGAGCGAAAGCGUGGGUAGCAAACAGGAUUAGAUACCCGUGUAA